UUAGACAUGGGCACAAUCUUGUUUACCAAUUAGCCAUCCCUCCUAUUUCAGUGGUUUCAGGGAAACAGUAGACCACCCAACUAGAGCAUACGGUAACACAGCAUCAUUUGGUAGCAUCUCCUCAUUAUAUCUGUGUAACACCCAUCAAUCCUAGUUAUCAAAAGAGCUUUGUAGUGGAGAAAGGAUUGCUUGGGUCAUAUGAGUUUAUUUUUCAGGGUUAAUGAUUUAUUUUUUUUAACUGUUGUCAAGGUCAUCACAGUCUGUUGAUAUUCCAUGAGAAUCUCAAUUCUUUGCAUGUCAUCAUGUAUUUAUGUCAAAGCAGCUUCCUGUAUAUAUCUAUAAACUUGUUAAUGUCUUCCAUUUCUAUAUUUCGCUCCCUACAUACAUUGGUAAACAUAUCAUUUUGAUUUGCAGCAAAUAUUAUUUACAAAAGUACAACAAAAAUCACGCAGGCAUUGUAAAUUCUGUAUGUCAGCACAGUGCUGCUUUGGGGAGGAUUUUAGUGAGGAACAUCAUGUGCCUAUCUGCUUGAGGAGCUGGAAGGGCGCUACACCCCUAUCAUGGAAAGACAGAGACGUAUACUUGACCUUAUGCAGGCUAGUUAUCACAAGGUGGCUUUAAGUGUCUGUGUAUUGCAGGAUUAGGGGAUUGGCUACUCACUAGACGACGGUCCUUCUGCUGUAACUUUCUGCCUUGCUCUUUGUGGGUUUACAGCACACCUUGCAGUUCUCACCCUCUGAGAACAUGGCCCAGUGCAAGGCAUGUCCCUAGGAGGCAGAAGAGACACGGGAUCUGUUCCUCUACAGCCAGUUCCAAACUCUUUUAUCAAUUCGGCCCAACUUUACAUAGUUAAUGUCCAUAGUAGCCUCCUGCACCCUGUCCUCACCCAGCAAUCAUCUGCAACCUCCUUCAUCUUGAUCAAGUGCUAUUUAAAAUAGAAAGCAACCCAAAAUAAAGGUGCUCUCAAGCCAUCUAACCCCCUUAAGUCUACUACUCAGACCUUCAAUCUUUAAACUCUUUCAGCUUUUGUAUAACUGAACCGAUUGCCUUCCAAAAGACCAAACAACCCCUUUGUAACAAUCAAGCCUAAAUGUCUGUGAAGAGACUCCGCAGCCAGCAGGGAUCGCUUUGCCGCAGCACCGGCCUCUGGAGCGUGCAGGGGUCUGCGGGGCAGCUGCCCACGUGGGUCCUGAGCAUCGCAUGCUCUUUGCUUCGGAAGAACCGGCUUCAAGGGGUUAUUAAGGUCAGGUACGUAGUAUUGAUAAUAUACGUUUUGUUCACUGUUGUGUAUUUUUAUCUUCAAGGUUUUCUGUUUCAAGUUAUUUAGGGACUUUUUGUCUGAGAGGCAGUUUCAGGGCAUUCUGAUAGGAAUCUGUUUCAAUUUCAUCUUCUGGAGUUUUCUCUGCUUUUCUUCACUGGGGCAAGGGGUGCAAUCCAGGUCUCUGGUUCAGUCACCUGAAGUCACCUGCUGAGGGGCUGUGCUGACGGUGGUCCGGCUGGCAGUGGAACAGCUCGAUUAGGGAGUGCCCACAGCCCACCCACCAUCCUAGGACAGAGAUACUUGUUCAAACCCACUUUCCAAAGCAGGCGGGAGACAAAUUUGAACCCAUGCCUCUGAUAUCCCUUGCGGGCAAACAAGGAAAAGAAAUUUCAGCUUCUGCUCAGGAACACCAAGGGUAAAUACACAAUCUCUGAGAGAUACAAGAAAUCUUUUUGAGGUGAAGGGCAGGAAAACCAACAGGAUAAUUGCAUACUCCUGAUUUACCCAAUGAGGCAGCACUACUGAAAUACACAAAAAGCCUGAGAAGUGUUAUCAAAUGUGCUGCCUGAAGAUUGUUUUCUUGAUCUAAGGACUCCCAGAAGCUGCUGAAAGGGUGCCACGCUGCAGAACAAAGAGCCAAGCAUCAUGUGCGUAUACUUGACAGGUUCGCACACUACUGAUGGAGGAUACUGGCGUUAACUUAGCAGAGAGCUGCAGAAGCAGAGGCGGCUUCCAGGGCCUGUGGCAGUUAUGCAGUUUCCCCUGUAGAUGGUAGCAGAGAACAAACUCUAAGGUACUUGCACUGCGAAGACUGGGAUGAUACUAAAAAAACCAACGUUGCCAGUGAAGUACAACGCAAAGCAGCUGAGAAGUCAUGCUGUAUUACACUGUCUUUGUGUUCUGCUUUCAUUUGACACAGGUAGGAAGAGUUAUACGUGAUACACUGAUGGCUCCUAUAAACUUCAGCUUGGAAUUUUGAAAGAACAUUAAUAUCAAAAACUUUCAUGCGCUACGAUUUGCCUUUACAUGACUUUUCUGCAAAUCCUUUCUUAAAAACACAAACAUGAUUAUUUAAAUAGUUUUAAAAUAUAAAGCAUUAUUUCAAAACUCCUGGACAUCUUCUGUAUUCUUUAUAAAACACCUCUCCCGAUUUCCUUAAAAUGUAGUUGAACUGAAAUCUCUACAUGUCCAACAGUUACUGCCUGGAUCCUGAACUCUUUUCUUGGACCUUUACCUUUUCCACAUUAGUUCGGAGUAAUUCUCAUUAAACAUCAAUUUUGGCAAUAUCUGAUUUUGAAAAUGCCCUUCCAGGUUUUUACUUUCCAGCUGUAUUACACAGUCUCCUGCAUCUUAAAAAGUUCCUAAUGAAAAGUAGUAGAGCUCACAAAAAGAUCUGAUAUAAACCAUCUUCUUUUCAAUUCACUAGUAAAUGGAAAAAAAGAAUCCUAUAUUUACAUGUGACUGCUUUACAACCACUGGUUUUAUUAAAGUCAAGAGAUCCCUCUCAGCAGCAGGAAAAGAAACUAGGCUGCAAAAUUAUCUCAAGCCUAGACACAAAAGUUCUCAAGUUGUUAGAAUGAUUCACGAACUAUAAAGUAUAUGUAAAGUGCUAUUAAUUGUCUUCUGUUGCUUUAAUUUUGCAUCAAUAAAUAUGAUUCUAAUUUA